UUGAUUUCUUCGGAAUGAUUUUGAUUAAGUUUAGUGGCGAACGGGUGAGUAACACGUAGGCAACCUGCCCAAAAGAGGGGGAUAACACUUGGAAACAGGUGCUAAUACCGCAUAACCAUGAACACCGCAUGAUGUUCAUGUAAAAGACGGCUUUUGCUGUCACUUUUGGAUGGGCCUGCGGCGUAUUAACUUGUUGGUGGGGUAACGGCCUACCAAGGUGAUGAUACGUAGCCGAACUGAGAGGUUGAUCGGCCACAUUGGGACUGAGACACGGCCCAAACUCC
rnacentral:rRNA from 1 species